CACGUAGGGGGCGAGCGUUGUCCGGAUUUAUUGGGCGUAAAGAGCUCGUAGGCGGCUCAGUAAGUCGCGUGUGAAAGCCCCCGGCUCAACUGGGGAGGGUCACGCGAUACUGCUCGACUUGAAGGCAGGAGAGGGAAGUGGAAUUCCCGGUGUAGUGGUGAAAUGCGUAGAUAUCGGGAGGAACACCAGUGGCGAAGGCGACUUCCUGGCCUGUUCUUGACGCUGAGGCGCGAAAGCUAGGGUAGCAAACGGGG
rnacentral:rRNA from 1 species